GGUGGGCGGGACGGGUGGUAACGCGUGGGUAACCUGCCUCAUACAGGGGGAUAACAGUUAGAAAUGGCUGCUAAUACCGCAUAAGACCACGGUACUGCAUGGUACAGUGGUAAAAACUCCGGUGGUAUGAGAUGGACCCGCGUCUGAUUAGGUAGUUGGUGAGGUAACGGCCCACCAAGCCGACGAUCAGUAGCCGACCUGAGAGGGUGACCGGCCACAUUGGGACUGAGACACGGUCCAG
rnacentral:rRNA from 1 species